rnacentral:rRNA from 1 species
GAUGAACGCUGGCGGCGUGCCUAAUACAUGCAAGUCGAGCGAACAGACGAGGAGCUUGCUCCUCUGACGUUAGCGGCGGACGGGUGAGUAACACGUGGAUAACCUACCUAUAAGACUGGGAUAACUUCGGGAAACCGGAGCUAAUACCGUAUAAUAUAUUGAACCGCAUGGUUCAAUAGUGAACGACGGUUUUGCUGUCACUUAUAGAUGGAUCCGCGCCGCAUUAGCUAGUUGGUAAGGUAACGGCUUACCAAGGCAACGAUGCGUAGCCGACCUGAGAGGGUGAUCGGCCACACUGGAACUGAGACACGGUCCAGACUCCUACGGGAGGCAGCAGUAGGGAAUCUUCCGCAAUGGGCGAAAGCCUGACGGAGCAACGCCGCGUGAGUGAUGAAGGUCUUCGGAUCGUAAAACUCUGUUAUUAGGGAAGAACAAAUGUGUAAGUAACUAUGCACGUCUUGACGGUACCUAAUCAGAAAGCCACGGCUAACUACGUG